rnacentral:piRNA from 1 species
UCCCUUUCAAUUUCUAGGGGUCCCCUGGGC